AUUGAACGCUGGCGGCAGGCCUAACACAUGCAAGUCGAGCGAGCGGCGGACGGGUGAGUAAUGUCUGGGAAACUGCCUGAUGGAGGGGGAUAACUACUGGAAACGGUAGCUAAUACCGCAUACCAUCAGAUGUGCCCAGAUGGGAUUAGCUAGUAGGUGGGGUAACGGCUCACCUAGGCGACGAUCCCUAGCUGGUCUGAGAGGAUGACCAGCCACACUGGAACUGAGACACGGUCCAGACUCCUACGGGAGGCAGCAGUGGGGAAUAUUGCACAAUGGGUGCAAGUCGGAUGCAGCCAUGCCGCUUGUGUGAAGAAGGCCUUGGGGUUGUAAAGCACUUUCAGCGGGGAGGCGUUACCCGCAGAAGAAGCACCGGCUAACUCCGGGCCAGCCGCCGCGGUAAUAC
rnacentral:rRNA from 1 species